AACGAACGCUGGCGGCAUGCCUAACACAUGCAAGUCGAACGAACUCUUCGGAGUUAGUGGCGCACGGGUGCGUAACGCGUGGGAAUCUGCCCUUGGGUACGGAAUAACUCAGAGAAAUUUGUGCUAAUACCGUAUAAUGACUUCGGUCCAAAGAUUUAUCGCCCAAGGAUGAGCCCGCGUAAGAUUAGCUAGUUGGUGGGGUAAAGGCCUACCAAGGCUACGAUCUUUAGCUGGUCUGAGAGGAUGAUCAGCCACACUGGGACUGAGACACGGCCCAGACUCCUACGGGAGGCAGCAGUGGGGAAUAUUGGACAAUGGGCGAAAGCCUGAUCCAGCAAUGCCGCGUGAGUGAUGAAGGCCUUAGGGUUGUAAAGCUCUUUUACCCGGGAUGAUAA
rnacentral:rRNA from 1 species